UACGUAGGGGGCAAGCGUUAUCCGGAUUUACUGGGUGUAAAGGGAGCGCAGACGGAACUGCAAGUCUGAUGUGAAAGCCCGGGGCUCAACCGCGGGACUGCAUUGGAAACUGUAGAUCUGGAGUGCCGGAGGGGCAAGCGGAAUUCCUGGUGUAGCGGUGAAAUGCGUAGAUAUCAGGAGGAACACCGGCGGCGAAGGCGGCUUGCUGGACGGCAACUGACGUUGAGGCUCGAAAGCGUGGGGAGCAAACAGG
rnacentral:ncRNA from 3 species